rnacentral:rRNA from 1 species
AGAGUUUGAUCAUGGCUCAGAAUGAACGCUGGCGGCGUGCUUAACACAUGCAAGUCGAACGAGAAAGGGAUUGCUUGCAAUCCUGAGUAGAGUGGCGCACGGGUGAGUAACACGUAGAUAAUCUACCUUCAAGCCUGGGAUAACUGUUUGAAAGAGCAGCUAAUACCGGAUAAAGUAUGUUGACAUAAGUCAACCUAUGAAAGGUUGCCUCUUCUUGAAAGCAAUUGUUUGGAGAUGAGUCUGCGGACCAUUAGCUUGUUGGUGGGGUAAAGGCCUACCAAGGCUGCGAUGGUUAGCUGGUCUGAGAGGAUGAUCAGCCACACUGGAACUGGAACACGGUCCAGACUCCUACGGGAGGCAGCAGUGAGGAAUUUUGCGCAAUGGGGUAACCCCUGACGCAGCAACGCCGCGUGAGUGAAGAAGGCCUUUGGGUCGUAAAGCUCUGUCAACUGGGAAGAAGUUACAUUAUAUUAAUAGUAUAUUGUAUUGACGGUACCAGUGGAGGAAGCGCCGGCUAACUCCGUGCCAGCAGCCGCGGUAAUACGGGGGGCGCAAGCGUUAUUCGGAAUUAUUGGGGCGUAAAGGGCGCGUAGGCGGUUUUGUCGGUCAGAUGUGAAAGCCCAGGGCUCAACCCUGGACGUGCAUUUGAAACAGCAAGACUUGAGUACGGGAGAGGAAAGCGGAAUUCCUGGUGUAGAGGUGAAAUUCGUAGAUAUCAGGAGGAACACCGAUGGCGAAGGNAGCUUUCUGGACCGAUNCUGACGCUGAGGNNNGAAGGNGUGGGUAGCGAACAGGAUUAGAUA